GAAGCAAGCAAGCAAUGAAUAGAACGUAUAAACUCAGAGGAAAAAAAAAAGGAAAAGUUGGGGACAAAUCUCAGAAGCGGACAAUGAAAAGGGAAAUCACCAGGCAAGAAGGAGGAAAGAGGAAUAUAAGAUCUGCUCCUCCUACCACAUAACAAUUCAUCUUCACUGAAGCUCCUCCCCCAGCAGAUCAGCAAUAAAUGCUGGAAUAUUUUCCCAUCAGCCUACAAGUGCGAAGAAAGAACAGUAAGAACAUGAGUGAUCCAGAACCCUGCAGAAUAAAACAUGAAGAUACUGAAGAACAAAUAGCCUUGAUGAAAGGGAAUGAGAAAGAGACUGAAGACCUGAGUGAAGCAGAGGAGAAACAUCAUCAUAUCAACUCUUUGAGUCUCUCACAGACUGAGAA